GAUCCGUCGCCGUCGCUCCUCUCCAUCGAAACGGGGUUUUUCAAUUAUGGCCGACGAAUCGGAUCUGAAUGACUACCUCGACGAAGAAGAAGUGCCAAUAUCAAAGCUAGAGAAGAAGAAGAA